rnacentral:rRNA from 1 species
UACAGAGGUCUCAAGCGUUGUUCGGAUUCAUUGGGCGUAAAGGGUGCGUAGGCGGCGCGGUAAGUCGGGUGUGAAAUCUCGGAGCUUAACUCCGAAACUGCAUUCGAUACUGCCGUGCUUGAGGACUGGAGAGGAGACUGGAAUUUACGGUGUAGCGGUGAAAUGCGUAGAUAUCGUGAAGGAAGACCAGUGGCGAAGGCGGGUCUCUGG